UACAUGUGAGGUCUAUUAAAUAAGUCCCUAUUAAUAUACUACCAGGGUAUCAUUGUGGAUUAUCUAAGAUGUGGUGCCAAAGAUACUAACACAAAACACUCAGAAAUUUCUUUCCAUCUAUUCUUUCAGCGUGGCUUUGCUUCAAGGUGUGGUGCUGGCUUGCCUCCAUUAUAGCUAGACACCACCUUGCAUUUUCAAUCUCUUGCAUAUAUUUAGACUUUGCGUGAUAGAGUUUGGUCACCUCAAUACAAGAUUGUUAUAAAAAUUGCAAUUAUUAACAUCAACACAAUUAGGUAUAAAAGGAACCAAUGCAGGUUCAAGGACAAAACUUCUCACAGGAACACAACAAUCAAUAGUAUCACUUAUGCAGUAGCUCUUUCAUGAAAUAACACUUCUAGAGUUUCUAAUUCCUCUAUCAGAGACCUGAUCAUCUUGAAGAAGUUUUACAUCAAUAUUCAUCCCCCGAAGGCUCCCAUCAUCAAAGAGGAGUGUAGGGUUUUUCUCCAUAACAUUGUUAAACAUUGCUGCUGGUUAUACAAUCAAAGGAGCUUAUCAAUUGCUUGCUACCACCCAUCCUAGAGAUCGUUCAUAUAUUUCGCACCUGAUUUCGCACCUAUCCUACAUGAUAUAAUACUCUCUCCAUCCCUAUAUGUAAAUCCC
rnacentral:lncRNA from 1 species